AUAUAUAUAUACAUAUGAGUAACAAUGAUAGAGAAUAUGGAGACUUGUUCAUCCUCAAAGAUUAUUUCCUCUUAUUUUACAAUUUCAUCCACCAU